UAGGGAAUCUUCGGCAAUGGGGGGAACCCUGACCGAGCAACGCCGCGUGAGUGAAGAAGGAUUUCGGAUCGUAAAGCUCUGUUGUUAAGGAAGAACGAGUGUGAGAAUGGAAAGUUCAUGCUGUGACGGUACUUAACCAGAAAGGGACGGCUAACUACGUGCCAGCAGCCGCGGUAAUACGUAGGUCCCGAGCGUUGUCCGGAUUUAUUGGGCGUAAAGCGAGCGCAGGCGGUUAGAAAAGUCUGAAGUGAAAGGCAGUGGCUCAACCAUUGUAGGCUUUGGAAACUGUUUAACUUGAGUGCAGAAGGGGAGAGUGGAAUUCCAUGUGUAGCGGUGAAAUGCGUAGAUAUAUGGAGGAACACCGGUGGCGAAAGCGGCUCUCUGGUCUGUAACUGACGCUGAGGCUCGAAAGCGGGGGGAGCGAACAGG
rnacentral:rRNA from 1 species